rnacentral:tRNA from 1 species
GCCUGGGUGGCUCAGUUGGUUGGGCGUCUAACUUCAGCUCAGGUCAUGAUCUCAUGGCUUGUAGGUUCGAGCCCCACAUCAGGCU